GAAGAGUUUGAUCAUGGCUCAGAUUGAACGCUGGCGGCAGGCCUAACACAUGCAAGUCGAGCGGAUGAAGGGAGCUUGCUCCUGGAUUCAGCGGCGGACGGGUGAGUAAUGCCUAGGAAUCUGCCUGGUAGUGGGGGAUAACGUCCGGAAACGGGCGCUAAUACCGCAUACGUCCUGAGGGAGAAAGUGGGGGAUCUUCGGACCUCACGCUAUCAGAUGAGCCUAGGUCGGAUUAGCUAGUUGGUGGGGUAAAGG
rnacentral:rRNA from 1 species